rnacentral:rRNA from 1 species
GAACGCGAAGAACCUUACCUGGUCUUGACAUAGUAAGAACUUUCCAGAGAUGGAUUGGUGCCUUCGGGAACUUACAUACAGGUGCUGCAUGGCUGUCGUCAGCUCGUGUCGUGAGAUGUUGGGUUAAGUCCCGCAACGAGCGCAACCCUUUUCCUUAUUUGCCAGCACUUCGGGUGGGAACUUUAAGGAUACUGCCAGUGACAAACUGGAGGAAGGCGGGGACGACGUCAAGUCAUCAUGGCCCUUACGACCAGGGCUACACACGUGCUACAAUGGUCGGUACAAAGGGUUGCUACCUAGCGAUAGGAUGCUAAUCUCAAAAAGCCGAUCGUAGUCCGGAUUGGAGUCUGCAACUCGACUCCAUGAGGUCGGAAUCGCUAGUAAUCGCGGAUCAGAAUGCCGCGGUGAAUACGUUCCCGGGUCUUGUACACACC